GACGAACGCUGGCGGCGUGCCUAAUACAUGCAAGUUGAGCGCUGAAGGUUGGUACUUGUACCGACUGGAUGAGCAGCGAACGGGUGAGUAACGCGUGGUGAAUCUGCCUUUGAGCGGGGGACAACAUUUGGAAACGAAUGCUAAUACCGCAUAAAAACUUUAAACACAAGUUUUAAGUUUGAAAGAUGCAAUUGCAUCACUCAAAGAUGAUCCCGCGUUGUAUUAGCUAGUUGGUGAGGUAAAGGCUCACCAAGGCGAUGAUACAUAGCCGACCUGAGAGGGUGAUCGGCCACAUUGGGACGGAGACACGGCCCAAACUCCUACGGGAGGCAGCAGUAGGGAAUCUUCAGCAAUGGACGAAAGUCUGACCGAGCAACGCCGCGUGAGUGAAGAAGGUUUUCGGAUCGUAAAACUCGGUUGGUAGAGAAGAACGUUGGUGAGAGUGGAAAGCUCAUCAAGUGACGGUAACUACACAGAAAGGUACGGCUAACUACGUG
rnacentral:rRNA from 1 species